rnacentral:lncRNA from 1 species
AAACAUAUAUUCAAAGAAGAGUUUUUAAUCAAUCAAAACAGGGCCUAAAGAGUACUUUGUUGUGAUGAUUAAGUUUUAUCUAACAUGCAGAAUUAUAUUAGUCCCGACUCCUGAGUUAAGAAAGGAUCAUUUUCUCUCUUACUGAUUUUGGUGUCAUAAAAUAUACAAGUUAACACAGAGUGCCAAUAUUUAUAUAUACAUCAUCAAGUAACCAUCCAGUAAUUACUAAUCUGAUACUAAAUCAACCGAUAUCUUAUCAAUUAGCCAGUAAAUUUUUCCUUCAGUGAUGUAUAUACUUCUUCAAUUAGCUUACUUUAUCAUCAUCCAUUUUCCUUGGCUUGAGCUCCAUAUGCGUUGCCUGCAACAAUUAUAGUAACAUGUAUGCCAUCAAAAUUAUGGGUUUUUGUUCUUUUGAACGAUGACAAAAUACAACAAGAUGGAAUUAGCAUUGUCAUCUACGCUAACAACUAAUAAUAAUAAUAAGAGUGUCUCAAAUGCUUCUUUGGACAGGCUAGACACACAAAGGGUACAAUACCUGAUUUACCUUACCUCUCAUGUUCUGCCGGCAGUGAUAUUUUUGCAUCAUAAGGCUUUGCGGGACGGGGAGGGUUUGAAAUAUGCAGGGCAGGGCAUAUGCGAGGCGAGUUGAAAUAGAUUUUUGAGAAAUUGAUAUGCGACGGAUUGUGGAUUCUUCAUACUUAACUUCGCUGAAAUGGCCAAAAUUUGUUUUUAUUUCUUUUUGCUUAUGUGAGAGGCCAAAAUAACAAAUUCUAACACUCAUUAAUUAAAAAUAGUAGUAUAUUACCAACAAAUGAAUUGGAUAUAGAUCUAUAUUCUGAUGAGACAUUUUGUAAACAAAACAUUCUAAUAGGGUAGAUCCGCCCGUCCACUCCCCAAUCAAUCUCACUCAUGGAUCCAAAAAUUGCUUUCAAAAUCAAUAACCAAAUGGAUUCUUUCAUUUUUGACGCAUUGCUUGGUUGCAUUCAAUCUAAUUCAAACUUUUAUAUUUAAUUAAAAAAAAAUCAUCUAUUUAUGAUCACAAUCAAUUUCUAUGUAGUAAAGAGAUUGUUUCUUUCACUUAUGAAUUUUCGUAACUAAUUGUGUUAUUUAUAAUUUAUCAAAAUAUUGUGCUAUGUACUUAUGUAAGAUUUAGGAUAAUACAUGAUCUAUCAUUUUAAAAAUGAUAAUUUUAUGUCAAAUUUAUAAGUAUUUUUUGAAGUUCUCAAAACAUACGAGUUUGAAAUCAAAAACUAUAAUUGAACACACAUUCUCAAAAGAAAUUCAAAAUCUAUACUCAAAUGCUAGCAAAAAGAAGUGUAGUCCAACCUCAAUUAUACCUCAAUCUCAAACUAGUCAAAAUCAACCAUGUUAUAUUCUCACUGCUCAUUUCGCUCCAUUUAAACUCGUCUCGAUCUUACACAACUGAGGUCAUGAAACUUUUUCCAUUAAAAAAAUGGCAUUUAGAUGUGGUUGCUCUUCCUUCUUAAAGCAGAGGUCUAACCCAUCGGUGACCCCUUAAAGUUGGCACGAAGUUUCACUUACGCACCUCAAGUGGGCGAUGUUCAUUUUAGACACUUCUUAUAGGGUCUCGCUAUGUCAUUUUAACACUCUUUUGCCAAUCAACAAAAAUAUAUGAGGUGUGUGUUACACGUGUUACACUUGCAAAUGAUGUGUAAAGUGACGAAUUAAAUGACGACAUUUGUCAAAAACAAUUUGUAGAUAAUGAAUUUUGAUUAAAAAUAUAAACCCCCGAAUUGUCUUCUCCAAAAACCCAUACCCAUUUGCAGAAACACCUGCCCCCCUCCCCCCACCUUCUCCAAAUACCCCUACUCAUUUGCAGAAAAAUCUGCACAUACCCAGUCCCCCACCCCAUUGUCUUCUCUAAAUACACCAUCUCUUUUUUGCUAAAACAUCUGGGCAUCUACACUCUUUCUUUUUUAUUAGUGUCUUCUUCAAAAAAAAAAUUUCUUUUUUACCCUAAUUAGCAGGUUUAUAAUUCACCAAAAAUUAAACUUACUCCUCUUUAAAUAUUAAAUUCUUUCAANNNNNNNNNNNNNNNNNNNNNNNNNNNNNNNNNNNNNNNNNNNNNNNNNNNNNNNNNNNNNNNNNNNNNNNNNNCCAUCUCUUUUUUGCUAAAACAUCUGGGCAUCUACACUCUUUCUUUUUUAUUAGUGUCUUCUUCAAAAAAAAAAUUUCUUUUUUACCCUAAUUAGCAGGUUUAUAAUUCACCAAAAAUUAAACUUACUCCUCUUUAAAAAUUAAAUUCUUUCAAAAAAGAAUCUCAUGAAUAAUUUAAUAUUUAAUCUUGAAAUGGAUCUAUUCCUAAAUUUCUAAAAUAGUUUCCAUCAUUUUACUGUAACUAUUUUUAUUCACCAUGUUGGAUAUUUAAGUUUGCAAAAAUGGUGGCUGAAAAUGGGAAAGAAGAAGAAAAAAUAAUUAAAAAAUCGACUAAAUAGGUUUUUCAGGCGCGCUCAACAGGUCUAUUACACUCACUAAGUCAUAUAAGCAAAAAGUGUCAAAAUGACAUAGUGAAACCCGACAUAAGGUGUUUAAAAUGAACCUUGCCCAGUUAAAGUGUCUAAGUAAAAAUUAGUGUCAGCUUUAAGGGCCACCAAUGGGUUAGAACUAAAGCAGAUAAUUGAUUCAAAUUGGCUCAUGGGAGUCAUUAGUCAUAACCUUGAGUGGGAAUAGACCAUCUGAAUAGCCCCACAACAAUGUCUCCAACCACACAUAAAAGAAGUUCUCUUUGAAAUCAACCAGUCAAAAGGAGGUUCAAAAUUAAUAGAGCAACACACAGGUCCACAUAUUCUACUCUUUCCAUAAAAAAAUCAUCAACCAAAAGAAUUACUCCAAUUUCUCCACGUCACUAACUUUUUAUCUUUUCAAUUAAACUACUUCAAAAACAACGUUCAUGCUACAUGUGAUGUUUAAUAAAACUUACCAUUACACUUCAAAUCACAAUCUUUGAAGGGAUGGAUGAUAAUGAAAUUUUCUACUGAAAAUCCUGUCUACGCCACUCUAUACGACUGUACAACUGGCAGAGAGUCUCAGGUGACCAUGAUCAUCAAGUAUGAUCUUUCCUUGGAGUAAAAUAUUGAACUAAACAAAGGAGAGGUAAGUUCGCCGAUUCAGUGCCUGCCAUCUAAUUCUAUGUUGUAAUUUCAAACUUUAUGUCAGGGAAAUAAAAAAACUGCACUGGAAUGGGGAGAGUAGCAUGAACCAAUAAAACACAAUUGAGAAACCAAGCAAACAUCAUCUAUGUGAAUUGAUUUCGCUAACCACCAUUUUACACCAACCACAUCCAACGCCAACAACGAAUAGGGUCUAUGGCAAUGAAACAAUGCUAGUGAUAAACUCACAAACGCUAGAAAUAAGGCCUCAAUUCCUGCCCCUUGAAGUUGGAAAAUGAUAAUCAAGUUCUUAAAAACUUAAGCCGUUACUUUAAAAGGCAUACCACGUUGUCUCUAGCAUAUAUGAUGCUAAGGCCUAGUAAUAUGGAAGUAUCUGAGUGAAAUACCUCAAAUAAAGAGACACAACAAGUACCCUACUGAAGGCAAAUCAAAACAACACAGAAUCAGUACAGAAGCAAAUGUAUAAUAUAAUUUGAACUUGUUGCUCUAUUAAAUACCACUCCCCUGCUCUCCUCCCCUUAGUGAUAGAGUCAAGACUAACACAAGCUGGCCCAAACAUCACCAUUAUAUCCCAUCGGCAAGUACAUACAAUUUAGUUCACAUUCUAAAUCAAUGGAACUUAAAGAUCGAAUUAAAUUGAUCACAAAGAAUUCAGUAUUUUACUAUUUUAUCAAUGAAGAUGAUAAGAAGAGCUGAA